AGAGGAUGUAGUGCUAAUGGAUAACACGCCGGCUUUGGGAGCCGGAAUUGCGGUUCAAAUCCGACAUCUUCUACCA
rnacentral:tRNA from 1 species